rnacentral:rRNA from 1 species
UCUCGUGUAGGGGGACCUGCGGAAGGAUCAUUAUUG